ensembl:lncRNA
AACAGGUCACACCUCACCACCCAUAUUGAUCAGGUCACACCUCCCCACCCAUAUUGAUCAGGUCACAUCUCACCCCUCCAUAUUGAUCAGGUCACACCUCACCAUCCAUAUUGGUCCAGUCACACCGCACCAUCAUAUCAAUCAGGUCACAUCUCACCACCCAUAUUGAUCAGAUCACAUCUCACCCUACCCAUAUUGAUCAGGUCACACCUCACCACGCAUAUUAAUCAGGUCACACCUCACCACCCAUAUUAGUCAGGUCACACCUCCCCACCCAUAUUAAUCAGGUCACACCUCACCAUCAUAUCAAUCAGGACACACCUCACCACCCAUAUUAAUCAGGUCACAC